rnacentral:miRNA from 1 species
GAUCUUAAAAGGUAUGUCUGACACAACUUUUAAGAUCGGUUACAAAAGAAUCGAUCUUAAAAGUUGUAUCAGACAUCACUUUUAAGAUC